AAUUUUACAACAAAAUAAUUCGCCAGAGGACUACUAGCAAUAGCUUAAAACUCAAAGGACUUGGCGGUGCUUUAUAUCCCUCUAGAGGAGCCUGUUCUAUAAUCGAUAAACCCCGAUAAACCUCACCACCCUUUGCUAAUUCAGUCUAUAUACCGCCAUCUUCAGCAAACCCUCAAAAGGUAGAGCAGUAAGCACAAUCAUUUUACAUAAAAAAGUUAGGUCAAGGUGUAACUUAUGAGGUGGGAAGAAAUGGGCUACAUUUUCUACUCCAAGAACAUUUCACGAAUGUUUUUAUGAAAUUAAAAACUGAAGGAGGAUUUAGUAGUAAAUUAAGAAUAGAGAGCUUAAUUGAAUAGGGCCAUGAAGCACGCACACACCGCCCGUCACCCUCCUCAAGUAAUAAGACACAACCAUAACCAUAUUAACUUAACUAAAACACAAGAGGAGACAAGUCGUCAACAAGGUAAGCAUACCGGAAGGUGUGCUUGGAUUAAU
rnacentral:rRNA from 1 species